UCGUCUUUGACGAGUACCUUGGUCGCAGCCGAUGGACUCUCUGCCGGCGUCCAAUUUGAAAAUGGUGGUAGUGUGGACGUAUGUAGAGACAGCAAAUGAUGACGAGUUUUUUGAAAAGAACUGCUCGAACAGCCACUGGAGAAACAGCGAAAUACGAAAAAGAAAAAGACGGCGUUAUUUAUGAGGCACAUUCAUGAUAAGCAUAUUGUGGUGAAAAUUCUCCCUAGUUCUUUAAAUGAUGUUUCCCGAAUGUUAAAAAGCUGCUCUUUACUGAUUCUAUUUAUUAAAGCU
rnacentral:lncRNA from 1 species